AGUCGUAACAAGGUCUCCGUUGGUGAACCAGCGGAGGGAUCAUUACCAGAGUGCCCUAGGCUCUCCAACCCAUUGUGAACAUACCUAUCGUUCCCUCGGCGGGCUCAGCGCGCGGUGCCUCCGGGCUCCGGGCGUCCGCCGGGGACAACCAAACUCUGAUUUUAUUGUGAAUCUCUGAGGGGCGAAAGCCCGAAAACAAAAUGAAUCAAAACUUUCAACAACGGAUCUCUUGGCUCUGGCAUCGAUGAAGAACGCAGCGAAAUGCGAUAAGUAAUGUGAAUUGCAGAAUUCAGUGAAUCAUCGAAUCUUUGAACGCACAUUGCGCCCGCCGGCACUCCGGCGGGCAUGCCUGUCCGAGCGUCAUUUCAACCCUCAGGACCCCCUUUCGGGGGGGACCUGGUGCUGGGGAUCAGCGGCCUCCGGGCCCCUGUCCCCCAAAUUGAGUGGCGGUCGCGCCGCAGCCUCCCCUGCGUAGUAGCACACCUCGCACCGGAGAGCGGCUCGGCCACGCCGUGAAACCCCCAAUUUUUUAAGGUUGACCUCGGAUCAGGUAGGAAUACCCGCUGAACUUAAGCAUAUCAAUAAGCGGAGGAAAAGAAACCAACAGGGAUUGCCUCAGUAACGGCGAGUGAAGCGGCAACAGCUCAAAUUUGAAAUCUGGCCGCAAGGUCCGAGUUGUAAUUUGUAGAGGAUGCUUUUGGCGAGGUGCCUUCCGAGUUCCCUGGAACGGGACGCCAUAGAGGGUGAGAGCCCCGUACGGUAGGACCACCAAGCCUCUGUA
rnacentral:misc_RNA from 1 species